UGUCCUGUUUUGGGAAAAGAAAUUAAAAAUCCAACCGGGAAAAACGUGGGGAGAUGAGAGCUUCUUCUCUUCCCUUUCUCUCCAAGUAAAAUCUGGAUAGAAACUGACUGAAAUCAUACGAUUAGCGAGCUCAACAGAGUUAUGGUUUCGCUGAGUUCCUAAUAGUGUUCACGAUGGUUGGCUUUAUAAAUGGAUUGGAGGAAUUUUCUGUUUUUUAGUUUUAAGAAAUUUGAUUUGAGGCAAGUGAUUUUUGCUCUAUUGAAAAACGCGAUUUUCAUCAAUUGGUGAGUCUGUCUAAUUGAACUUGAUGCAUGGUUUGAAUAAACACUUAACUGAAAUUUCUUCUUUUAAAUUUGAAUUGUCGUAAACACGGGGAAAUUAGGGUUCAUUCCUACCUGGGUUUUCAUAAAAUGGUUGAUUAAGCUUCUAUGCAAAGCAUAAGAAAUCUGUAAGAGGGGUACCUGUUUUCCUUUGGUUUUGUAGAAUUUCAUUAUGAUCUUCAUGAAACUGCUUAUGUGUUGAUUUGUAUUAUGUAUAUAUGUUUUAGUCUUAUGUGGAUGCCUAUAAAUUAAUGGAAUGCUCCGAUUUCAUCUGUUGAAAUUCCUGAAUUUGUCAUUGAGAUUAUGAUUCAUAAUAUGUUUGUUAAAAGAUUUCAAAGAAAUUUAGUUUGGAGCUAGAGGAUUAGUCCAUGAAUUGUUUGAUUUUCUUAAAUGAAUGGGGUUCCACUUUUUCCUCUUCUCCGUCUCUGUGAUUCUGGAGAUCCUCUCCUAAAUUUGACCCCAAAAAUUUCAGAUGACAAUGAAACUGAUAAGAACUAGGAGAUCAGUUGAUAAGGGAAAUGAAAUGAAUCCUUUUUGUUGUUUGAAAUGGUCCAGCAAGGUCUUUAGUUUAUUUUUUUUAGUGCUUUUCUCGUGAUUGAUUUUAAGCAAGUUCAAACGGUUGAAGAACUAAUGGCUGCUGACAUCGAUUAAAUAAUCAAUGGAGUGUAUUCAAGUGUUGUUUUAGUUUUGCUUGGAGAGGGGAGGACUGGGUUUCUGUUUGACUCGAAAAAUGAGCAAUGAAGCAGCAAGUACUCAACCAGUAAAACAAUCAAGAAGAGAUACUUUUGCCAUCAUGUUUGGGUGCUGAAUGGUGAAAAUUGUUGAGCGCAUUUGAAGCUAGUCGAAUUGCUAAACAAAAGAUAUUAACAGACGCCUCGAAGUCCUAAACGAAAUGAAGUUCGACCUACUGCUAGUAUAAUUUUGGUUUCAGAUUCGGAAUUGUGGUUAUUGUGAUUUGUCGUCGGCCUUGUGAUUAUUGGUUCUUACUAGUACUAUUAAAUGGUGCGAUUGGAGGCAGUUUAUCCUUGAAUUCCAUUUUGGUAGUUUGGCUUGGGGAUUAACUUAGCUUUGGAUAUCCCCUGUACGUCCUAGCUUAAUUUAUCUCGUACCUUAAUUCAGUAUACAUUUUGAUUUGGUAUCUGUCAUAUAGACAUCUUUGUCAUUACAGAUAAUGUGCAAGACUCUACGGAGAUGUCCGACGUAGACGGCAUGUUGUGGGUUUAUAAUGAUAUAGGUUACUGUAUCCCUUUUGUUUUUGGUAGACUUUAGUUUCACUUGAACUCUUCUACUCAAGUUUUAAGAUGGAGUUGUUUGAUAUCGAAGGUAAAGAUUUGCUUAUUCUAUUAAAAACUCACAUUUGGUAUGUUGGCAUUUUCAUUGUAAAGAGAAUGAAAGGUCCAUUUUUACAGUA